UUGAACGCUGGCGGCAGGCCUAACACAUGCAAGUCGAGCGGAUGAAGGGAGCUUGCUCCUGGAUUCAGCGGCGGACGGGUGAGUAAUGCCUAGGAAUCUGCCUGGUAGUGGGGGAUAACGUCCGGAAACGGGCGCUAAUACCGCAUACGUCCUGAGGGAGAAAGUGGGGGAUCUUCGGACCUCACGCUAUCCAGAUGAGCCUAGGUCGGAUUAGCUAGUUGGUGGGGUAAA
rnacentral:rRNA from 1 species